CCUCUCUCUCUGAUCCUCCCUCCAUCUCUGACUCUCCCUCCCUCUCUGACUUUCCUUCUUUUGCCUCUCCCUCACUCUCUGGCUUUCCUUUAUCCUUUAACAUUUCCUCAUCUCCUGUUUUGCCCUUGUUUUCUGUCUUUCCCUCGUUUUCUAACUUCUUGUCUUCCAGAGUACAAGUUACUUCUGGCUUUCUCUCGUCUUGUGGCUGUUCUUCAUUUUCCAUCUUUCCUUGGUUUGAAGCCAUUCCUUCAUUUUCACUGUAGAGUUUUUCCAUGUCGAGAUUUCCCCUCCUUUUCCUGUCCUGGGGGAUGGGGGUGGAGGAAAGAGGAGACAAAGAGGAGACAUGGGAGACUGAG
rnacentral:lncRNA from 1 species